rnacentral:rRNA from 1 species
GAUGAACGCUGGCGGCGUGCCUAAUACAUGCAAGUCGAGCGAACGGACGAGAAGCUUGCUUCUCUGAUGUUAGCGGCGGACGGGUGAGUAACACGUGGAUAACCUACCUAUAAGACUGGGAUAACUUCGGGAAACCGGAGCUAAUACCGGAUAAUAUUUUGAACCGCAUGGUUCAAAAGUGAAAGACGGUCUUGCUGUCACUUAUAGAUGGAUCCGCGCUGCAUUAGCUAGUUGGUAAGGUAACGGCUUACCAAGGCAACGAUGCAUAGCCGACCUGAGAGGGUUAUCGGCCCACACGGAACCGAGACCACGUUCCGACCCCUAAGGGAGGCAGCCGUAGGGAAUCUUCCCGCAUGGGCGAAAGCCUGACGGAGCAAAGUCGCGUGAGUGAUGAAGGUCUUCGGAUCGUAAAACUCUGUUAUUAGGGAAGAACAUAUGUGUAAGUAACUGUGCACAUCUUGACGGUACCUAAUCAGAAAGCCACGGCUAACUACGUG